GUGGGGAAUAUUGGGCAAUGGGCGGAAGCCUGAUGCAGCAACGCCGCGUGCGGGAUGACGGCCUUCGGGUUGUAAACCGCUUUCAGCAGGGACGAAGCGCAAGUGACGGUACCUGCAGAAGAAGCACCGGCUAACUACGUGCCAGCAGCCGCGGUGAUACGUAGGGUGCGAGCGUUGUCCGGAUUUAUUGGGCGUAAAGAGCUUGUAGGCGGUUGGUUGCGUCGAAAGUGCAAACUCAGGGCUUAACUCUGAGCCUGCUUUCGAUACGGGCUGACUGGAGGAAGGUAGGGGAGAAUGGAAUUCCCGGUGGAGCGGUGGAAUGCGCAGAUAUCGGGAGGAACACCAGUGGCGAAGGCGGUUCUCUGGACCUUUCCUGACGCUGAGAAGCGAAAGCGUGGGGAGCAAACAGGCUUAGAUACCCGUGUAGUCC
rnacentral:rRNA from 1 species